GGGCCCGUAGCUCAGCGUGGCAGAGCGGCUGGCUCUUAACCAGUAGGUCGCGCGUUCAAAUCGCGCCGGGCCCG
rnacentral:tRNA from 1 species